rnacentral:rRNA from 1 species
GAUGAACGCUGGCGGCGUGCCUAAUACAUGCAAGUCGAGCGAACAGACGAGGAGCUUGCUCCUCUGACGUUAGCGGCGGACGGGUGAGUAACACGUGGAUAACCUACCUAUAAGACUGGGAUAACUUCGGGAAACCGGAGCUAAUACCGGAUAAUAUAUUGAACCGCAUGGUUCAAUAGUGAAAGACGGUUUUGCUGUCACUUAUAGAUGGAUCCGCGCCGCAUUAGCUAGUUGGUAAGGUAACGGCUUACCAAGGCAACGAUGCGUAGCCGACCUGAGAGGGGGACCGGCCCCCCGGAAAUUGGGAACGGUCCCAACCCCCUCGGGGGGGCAGGGGUGGGGAAUUUUCCGCAAGGGGCGAAAGCCUGACGGAGCAACCCCGGGUGGGUGAUGAAGGUCUUCGGAUCGUAAAACUCUUUUAUUAGGGAAAAACAAAUGUGUAAGUAACUAUGCCCGUCUUGACGGUACCAAAUCAAAAAGCCCCGGCUAACUGCGU